rnacentral:lncRNA from 12 species
AUGCCCGGGAGGGUCCCGCGUGUGCCCCCUGAGGAGGGUGGGUCAGCACUCGGGGCACUUCCCGGAGUAGCAGCCCCCGCCUCCCUGGCGCCCAGCACCGCGCAGGGCCCAUGUGCAGGGACACGUCCGUGUGCCACCAUGCUCCAUGCAGGGACAUCUCAUUUUCCAGAGCGGGUCCCCCCGGGCAGGGAGGUCGGGGUGAGUGUGCGCCGUGAUCCUUUUUGCUUUGCCAACAGAAAACUGCCGAGAGGGGGAAAGGCAAACUCAGUUUCGCUUGGGUCAGCAGUGAGCCUCGCGGAGAUUAAUGAGGCAGAAGAGGGGAGCCAUGCGAAGAAGAGGGUAGAGGCUGCAGGGCUGCGGCCACCAGAAGCUGGAGGGGACAGGAGGGAGCCCCCGAGGGCCGCGUGGCCCUGCAGACACUGACCUCGGACUUCUGGGGCCCAGACAGGAGAGCCCGGGCUUCUGGGCGGCCGUCACCAAGCGCCCUGCUCUACGGGCCGGGGACACAGGAGCUGCCCAGGGACCAGCACGCGGCAGGAUGGGUGACCUGAACGGGAGACCUGGGAGAGGCGCCACAAAGGGUUUGGAAGAAUGAGUAGGAGCUCUGUAGGCUGGGCGCCCCGGCGGCUCCGCUAGUUGAGUCUCAGACUCUUGAUCUCAGCUCAGGGCUUGAUCUCAGGGUCAUGGGUUCAAACCCCAUGUUGGGUUCAAGCCCAUGUUGGACUCUGUGCUGGGUGUGGAGCCUAUUGAAAAAAAAACAACAAAGAAGAGUUCUGUGCGCUGAAUGAAGAAGCUUGAAACAGGCUGGUGUGGGAGAAGGCAGGGGAGAGGUGGUUCAGGGGGGCCAGCUGGCUCCUGGCGGCCUCAGAAGGCCCAGCAAGGCUGCUGUGUCGGUUGUAGGUUGAAGGGGCAGCCGGGAGGUGUUCCGGAACCUUGGCCCGGCCUCUCAGGUCUGUGGGGCAGCCUUAGGCUCUGCUUUAGUGCUGGAGAGGUUCAGAGAUCUGCCCAGGGUCACACAGCAUUUGGGCAGGGCUUGGUACAUUAGACACUCACUUGUGGGCCCAUUUGGGGCAAUUUGUUGGGGUUUGACUGGAAUCCGUGUCCGGGGGGGGUUGGCAGGCCCAGCCUCUGCCUCCACAUCCCCUGCCCUGGUUGAUCCCCAGGUGCAUGGCGGGCUUGAGAGGAGAGGCAGGACGGUGCCCCUGUGAAGGAGGGAGGCCGUGCGGGAGCUGUGUGCAGCUGCGACCACCUGGCUGAUGUGACGCACGGACUGGGAUUCACCUGUCCUUGGCACCAGUGUUGUGAAUAUUCCUAAGGAGGCAGGUCAGUUACCCCGGAACGUGGCUGUCGUCCUACCUGGGACAACAAGCAGCUUCGUAGACCCUGGAAGAGCCGCCGGGCUGUGAUGGCUCCAGGCACGGGCCUGGACACCCUCCGCAGGCUGGUGG